UACGAAGGGGGCUAGCGUUGCUCGGAAUCACUGGGCGUAAAGCGCACGUAGGCGGCUUCUUAAGUCAGGGGUGAAAUCCUGGAGCUCAACUCCAGAACUGCCCUUGAUACUGAGAGGCUCGAGUCCGGGAGAGGUGAGUGGAACUCCGAGUGUAGAGGUGAAAUUCGUAGAUAUUCGGAAGAACACCAGUGGCGAAGGCGGCUCACUGGCCCGGUACUGACGCUGAGGUGCGAAAGCGUGGGGAGCAAACCGG
rnacentral:rRNA from 1 species